GAUGAACGCUAGCGGCAGGCCUAACACAUGCAAGUCGAGGGAGAAGCCUUUCGGGGCCGAAACCGGCGCACGGGUGCGUAACGCGUAUGCAACCUACCUUUCACAGGGGGAUAGCCCGAAGAAAUUUGGAUUAAUACCCCAUAAUAUUGUUGGAUGGCAUCAUCUGAUAAUUAAAACUGCGGUGGUGAAAGAUGGGCAUGCGUCCUAUUAGCUAGUUGGAGUGGUAACGGCACCCCAAGGCUACGAUAGGUAGGGGUCCUGAGAGGGAGAUCCCCCACACUGGUACUGAGACAGGGACCAGACUCCUACGGGAGGCAGCAGUGAGGAAUAUUGGUCAAUGGUCGGAAGACUGAACCAGCCAUGCCGCGUGCAGGAAGAAUGCCUUAUGGGUUGUAAACUGCUUUUAUAUGGGAAGAAUAAGGUGUACGUGUACAUUGAUGACGGUACCAUAUGAAUAAGCAUCGGCUAACUCCGUG
rnacentral:rRNA from 1 species